CUCCUAUCCUCCUUGUUCCCUGUCAGGAGCUGGGAAGCUUGCAAUCAUGGCUGGAAUUUUGCUUUCUUUCUCCAGAGCCCGCAGGCUGCUUCAGAGGGCCUGAUUAGCACUGUAGAUAUUCUUCAUGCGAGGCUCCUAUCAGCAAACCGAAGGCACAACCCUCAGACAACAGCCCUCAGACACCCGCCUGCCAGCGCUACAGCUGACAGGCUGUGCCAUAAUAGCUUCUCGCUGUUACAGCUCUCCCGGCUCUCCAAUUAAAACUAAAAGGAAAAAAAAAAAAAAGAAAGGAAAAAAAAAAAAGGGAGGAGAAGGGAAGAAAGGAAGCUUUCUGCAUACUAAACACUCUCUGUUCUUCAAUGUGGGCACAAGGAUAUUUCUAGCUGUUCCCCAGGAAUGGUGAGGUAGAAUUGAAGCCGGACAGCAGGAGUGGAGGCUCUGAAGGCAGUGGGCGAGCCUUUGGUUUACCCCUGGGUGCCACCAACAGCAAGCAAGAGGCUCCCCUGAGCUGGACCCCUGGGCGAGGCUGAGCCAAGGGUACCCACUGCAACAACACAAGUCCAAGAGGAGAGAUCCCAGAACAAAGUUAGAAUGGGUGCAAAGUAAAAGAAAGGGUAAGGCUCUUAUAAAUAUAUAUAUAUAUAUUGUGAUAGUUCUUUCACUCUUUCCUAACUCUCCUAUUGUUUGGGUUUGCUUGUGAUUUACAGCAGUCCAGGAUAAAGGAGCCCUGAGCACUCUUUAUGCCACACAGAGUGCCGGCUGACAGAGCGUAAUGCCAGUGGUGGUGGUUUGGCACCAUCCUCCAGGAGGUGAAGGCCCCAUGGGCUGGUCAGACAGGGCACACGCAGCACGCUUCUGCAGGCCUUCAGGCAGGAGCUUGUGCCACCAUUUCCAUCCAGAGCUGCCUUUUCUCUCCCUCCCACAUUUCCCCUUGUGUCUGACUCUCCAGGCCAGCUGUCUCACUGCAAGUCUGGCUGUCUUUUCUUAAAAAAAAAAUAGUGCGAUUUAUUUGGGAUGUACACACAAGUGCAAAAUUUGCAUAUAAACCUAACUGCCAAGAAAUAAAAACAUAUUCAAAAUCAGCCAAUUCCACUGAUGAGAGCAUGAUGCUUAGCAUUCCUGAAUACAUUGAGUAAAUUAUACGUGCCGCACUAUUCAUGCGUUGCCUGACUAUAAGAUUUACUCAUGCAAACAGCCACAGAAACAACAUAAUAAGAAAUCUGUGGUGUAUUUUCAGAAGGCAGGUAUUUUAGCUGAGGAGCGAGCCUGACAAUGGGGUUUGUAACCCAGGAAAGCAGGAAUCUACUGCUUGUUUGGAUGCCUGACUGGAGCCCAGGACAGCUAUCAAGCGUCCCAGGCAGCCCAGAUCUCACUAUAUUUCAAAAAUACUCUUUUUCCCUUUCUCCCACACUUUUUUAUCUGCCUUAAUGUGGGGAUUACUUCAGUCCAUCUAUUUGGUGCCCACAGCAACACCCCAUUGGUGCUCUUCGGUCCCGCAGUCACACAGAUAAAAGUGAUCCAUGCAGUUGUUACUAAAUAGGUAUGGAAGCGUUUUCAAGAAGCUCUCACCAAAAAUAGCCACCAAAACCUCACCUGAAAUAUUUGGUUGCAUUUAUAGUUGGAAUUACUAACUGUUUUGCAAGCUCAUAGGCUUGCUGAAAGGCUACACUGUGCCUGAGGAUUUGAUGUCUAUGGUAAACGUCAUAGGAUCAUAGAAUCAUUUGAGUUGGAAGGAAUCUUUAAAGGUCAUCUAGUCUGAGAGUCCCUUUUAACUAUAUCCUAUACAACUGAUGCAAAACUGAGAGGUAGGCUUGCUUUGAAGUGACAAGUCAACUUUAAACCAAAAUCCAACUAAAUGAGGGGGCUGAAAUUCCUUCCACUCUGGUUUAUCAUGGUGAUGAACUGGACCAGAAUCUAUGCACACAUUGCCUAGCCAGAGGUGAAGAAGGAAAGAUGUGGACUUACGAGAGGUUCCAAAAGAAUGGUAAGCUGUCUUUUUUUUUUUUAAGUAACUCAUACUCUGAUAAAACACAGUCUUUUUUUUUUUUUUUUUUUUUUUUUUAGUACUAUUGCAACUGGGUGUGGCCUUAGAAAAGGCUCAAAAUGCGCACACAAAGAGAAACUGACACCAAAUUGAGGCAGACUGGACAUCCAGGUCUUUGGAGGCACCUGCUGCUUGGGCACAUUGCUUUCUGCUACCCUUGUGAGGUAGAGGAAACACCCAGGUAGAGACAGCUGAUCAGAGUCAAAGGUGCAAGAAAGACCACAGCUUCGCUGUGAAAUGGAUGGCAUGGGGGGAUUCUAAAGGAAAGGACUAGUUUUGUGAUGGGGAAAAUGGAUGGCAAGGGGAAGAUGGUGAAGACAGCGUGGAAGUGGAAGAUAAACAAUGGGAAAAGAAGAAAAAAAUAAUAUUUCUAUACAUAUAUUCUACGUACGCUGUCUAUCACACUUUUUGUAUCUAUUGAAGCAUGAUUUUAGUGAAUUUGCUACCCUAUAGGGAAGUAAGUACCAAAAGCUCAGAUCAUUAAUCCUUAAUACUGAGUAGAUGCAGCUUGUUAGUUUGUACUUCACCAUGUAAUUACAGCUAAUGUGAAAUGUUCUUAGAAACGCUGGGCUGCUAUUCUGCACAUCCAAGUUGGAUGUCGGGAAGGAGAUGUCCUGGAGUGGACAGUCACGUCCAGAUGGGUGAAGGUGUACUUUCAGCUGUUCUGAUGACUGACAGCAGAUUUUGGCAAUUAAUUCUAAUUUAAAGAUGACAUUUUGAAAUAGUUGGCAAGUAACUUAAUAUUCUAAAUCUAAUCUCCCCACAUGAAAUCCCAGUCAAUGCCUUUUGGAUCCCCAGCCACAAUGCCCUUUUGCUGAUGCCAAGACUUUGGCAUCUGGAUUUGACUCCUGAUCUUCUGCAAAAUCAUUUACUCGUGGAUUCCUCACAUCCACUCUGGGAACUCUCAUUGAGCAUGUGACAGUUAACAUGCUAUGCAGCUCCCCUUUCCCUUCCCCCUAAUUUCAUUUUUUUGAUUGCUGUAGUUAAAAUAAUCAUUUAGUUUAGAGUUAACCAAUUGCUUUGUGCAGGUAUUAUAAAUAUAUGGAUUUUGAAAGGCAGUGACAAUCUCAUCCAAGAUAACAAAAGCCACUACUGCAAGAGACACGUCCUAGGCUACUUGUGCUGUAUGCUCAUGAAAGCAUUAAGAUGUGUUUACGGUCAUUUGAAAGUCACAGUCACCUGGGUGAGCAGAUUACACAGUCCCGAUGUCAUUAAUUAGUCAUCAACAAAAUUUAGCUCUAACAGCAAAUGUAUUUUCUGAAUUAUCAAAGUGAUCUGUAGGAGAUCAGCAGAGGCUUUUGGAAAAAUUAGCUGUUGCUCUCUCCACAGACAGAAAUCACAGAGCAGAGACUUGUGCUAAUGUACACAGCACAGGCAAAUGGACUAAAGGAUGUUUGCUGCAAUUAUCGUUGGUGGACAUAAGAGUUACAGAGUGGCUGAACAGAAUUCUCCUGCUUAACAGAGGAAGAGAUGAUUUCAUUACGAAAAAAUACAUAUGACAGAAGUGCAGAGGAUUUCAGAGGGAAGGAAGUGAAGACUGAUGUGACCAUUAAUUCGUUCUCUGGACUGGUCAGAUCGUCAAUAACCUAACCCCACCUUGUGGUUGUUCUGGAGUCGUUUGCUUGCUUUGCUCAUUAGGCUGCAAACUCUUGCUGAAGAACAGCCAACUAUUGAUUAAGGCUCAUGACAAAAGGAAAGAUAUAAAAAACAAAACCGAGGAGUGUCAUUCUGGCAUGUACUGAAGGAGUCCACAUGGGUGGAAAAGGAAAGAUAAUGUCAAGUUCCAGACAACUUGAAAGCUGGGUUUACUGAGCCGAGUGGUGAGAACACUCACAUUUUAGGUCAACCGUGGUAAAUUUGUUAUAGCAUCAGCCCAGUCACACCUGGAGAAAAAUUAGUGUCUCAUUAUUUAUUCAGAGCAUCCCCAUUUUUUCAGAAGUUGUAUUAUUAGAAACACGCGUUCCAAAGAUGCAGGCUUUCAGGUAACUGUGAUUUACAGUUAUCACUAUGCAUGUUUCCAGUUAACAGCAGGUUCUCUUGCUAAAAAGCACACAUACAGCGCUGCACUUAGUUAAUAAGAAAUGGAAUAAAAAAUGGAUGAAAAUGAUCUCUUUUUAAGACACAUGUCUGUUUUCCCUGCUUUUGUGAAAUCAAAGCAUCAAAGAAAGAAAUCUUCUUUUCAGUGACUCACUGGCAACCUAUUAGCAUAUUUGCCUAUGUCCCUGUCAGCCACUCUUACAUCAACACUUUCACAAAAGCUACCUACUGCAGACUGGUGUCUGCUCUGGCUAGCUUGCUGGUCACCAUCGUGAUAUAAUCUCCUUCCAAAGCAAUUUAAUUAGCACAGGGAAAGAAAUGACCUUUCUCAAGUUUUUAUUUUUUCCACUAGGCUAAAUAUAUCUCACUGAAUAUGUCAAUAGUAUCCUUGAUGCACACAGCACUCCAAUACCCUGUUGUAAGGAAAAAAGAAUUUUAAAGCACUAAUUUUAUAGGUAAUGAGGAAAAUAAGCUUUUUAAUGUCCUUUGAAAUAGGCAAAGCUAUUUGGAAUGCAGAACUGUUGAGAAAGUCCUUAGGUGAAUGGAUUGUAGAUAAUAAUAUGCCAUGCUUCUUGCACUUUAUAGUAACAGAUAUUGUGAAUAAUGGCUAUUACAAGGCAUUUUACAAAAGUACUCUGAUUUAUUUUCCAUCAUUCAUGGAUCAGAAGGCACAGAAAACUGAACAAAGUCCAAAUACUUUUGCUGAAGUCCAUCUCACAAGCUGUCCAUCUCACAGAUCUUGCCUGCAAGGACACUCCUGAAAUUUCUUUAUUCAUAAUUUAUUAAUUCCAUCCUUGCCUGGACUGCAAAAGCAUCAGCUGAUGUUUUACAGUGUGCUGAGCAUCUCUGCGUAGCAGCUAUAAAGACGCAGCUAUUCCCAGUGCAGUACUUGCCCGGUUCCUUGCCAGAGCCCAACCAGCACUGCACAUUUUUCCUGCUCACCAACUCCCAUAGAAAAAUAAAACCCGAGGGUCCUCAGACCCUGCUGCUGCCACUGAUGUGGACUAAGAAAUAUCCACCCCAGCAGGUGCAAAUGACAGUCCUACCUAUGUCUGCAUUUACAGUCCGUGUCUAACAGUAGAAAGAGCACAGAGGUUCAGGCUCAUAAGAAGACAGAACUUGAUUGGUAACAGAAUAUCGGUCAGGUCUCUGCAGUCACUUGGCCAAGAUGAAGUGAGCAGAAUGUCCUCUCACCGUGACUGUGAUGGAUAAUGCUUCUGUUUGACUUCUCCUGAAUAGUGCAUGCGCUAUUACACACUUGGAAUCCUUAUAUUCUCUGGCAGCUGUAAGAAGACUGCAAACUGUAGCUCCUCAUGUAGCCUACCAGUCUUUUUGUAUGAAGACUUGUUUGCUGAAUGUUGCCCAUCAAACAUGUGCGGGUGAUUGCACUAUAUACCACCUUACAAUUUUAUGUGUGUAUGUGUGUGUAACUCCACAUGCAUGCACAUACCCUGAUACGCAUGUACAUACACAGAAAGAAGGCAAAAAUACUCUAGAAAUUAUCUUUUUUUUUUUCAUAGGAGUUUAUGUGAAUUAUUUUUCCUUAUUUGUGUUUCAGUUUGUUUGAGCUGUACAUUACAACAGAUUUAGGCAGUGUUAUUUUUAAGACACAGCAUCCUGCUUAGAAAAGUUAGCUAGAAGUACGGACAGGAUGAGAUCCACUUUAUGGGUGAAGUUAGUGUGGCUUUUCUCCUCCAUCCUUUUCAGAUCUCUUAAAUACCAUUUCUUUCCAAACUGGAUUAGAAAGGAAGUUGAGUUGAAGCACAGAUCUGCUGCUACAACUAAAAUACAGUAUGCAUCUCCUCCAGUUCCUGGUUGUGCCGUAGUGUGUGUGACUGUGACCAGAAGCAAAAGCUCCCUGAGUCUCUAAUUGCCAAGUAUAACAUGAGGUACGGAUUGAAUAAAAUCUAUGAAUUCUGGGAGCACUCAUCUACUGCAGCACUAAGGGCCAUGGAAAUACCCAGAUGGAAUAUGCACACCAGGAAAAUGGCAAAAUGCCAAACAUAAAGGGGCUAAAUGGUAGGAAAAGAAAGUGGAUCCAAGCUUUCAAUAAAUAAUUAUAACUUUUGGUAAGAGGAAGAGAAGAUAUUAAAGGUCAGAACUCUGUGUCAUGCCCAUGUAAGUUAUAGGAGUGACUCAUGCUAACUUCGCCUCAGCACCAUAAAACUAGCACUGAGCACAACAGCCUUCUGUUCAAUCUGCGGUUCUUUUAUAAUGCCCUUUUCUUUUUACUCUUUAGUGAGACACUGGGAAUAAAACAGCGCUAUUAAGGUUGGAAAAGGUCUCUGAGAACAUCUAGUCCAACUGCCCACCUAGCAUGACGUUAUAUUGCAAUUCUUUCUUUGGCUUUUGCACAGCUUUGAAAACCUAAGCGCAGGUGAGGCAGAGAAGCACUCAGAAUUCUUUGCCCAGAGACAAUAAUAGCCACUUCAGUGCUUGGACAGACGCAAGGCUUGUGCAGAUAAGGAAGGUGACAUCCUGCCUGCUUCGUGAGAAGAGCCUCUGCUGACUUCAUACCACCCGGAAGCAGUCACUGGUUCCAGCCCCACUUCCUGCUGGGUCCUGCACCGUCCUUAAUAGCACCAGCAGGCACUUACAGGUGGGAUACAGAGCUCCUGCCCACCUGGUCCUGCUGUCAGCAACUGUCUUUUGUGGUGGCAUUGCCCUCAGCACAGAAGGUUAUACAGUAAUCUGCCUCCUAAAACUGCCACUGUUAUAGCUGGUAAAAUGGGUCCAUUUAACCAGAGCAAGUGCUGAAUUCUGCACCCAAGAAAGGGCAGUUCUGGCUAUACAUAUGGACUGGGGGGAUGAGAUGCUGGAGAGCAGCACCACAGAAAGGGAUCAGGGUGUUCUGGCUGAUGGUAAGCCAAACAUGAGGCAGCAGUGUGCCCUGGAGUCCAAAGGGCCAACCAUACCCUGGGGUGCAGCAGGCCCAGCGCUGCCACCGGGCAAGGGAGCAUCUGGGCAGUGCCCUCAGACACAGGGUUUGGGUCCUCUGUGUCCUUUCCAACUGGGGGUAUUCUGUGAUACUGUGAUCCUUUUGGGUCCCUUUCAACUCAGGAUAUUCUAUGGCUAUAUGGCUAUAAUUCUGCUUUUUUUUUUUUUUUUUUUUUAAUCAGGAAAAGGACAUUUUUUUGCACGAAAAGGAAAUCUUUGUAUUUUCAGUAUAUCCAAACCUGAUCACAUUCUUUUGAUUUCUGUGGCUAUUUCGUCAGGGUUAUACAGCCAUAUAUAACAAACCUUGUGAAACAACACUGAAUUGAAAAUGGAUCUUUGUAGAUAGAAAAAAA
ensembl:lncRNA